AAUGCAGGUUGCAAUUACAGUGCUUCAUUCCAGUGGGAGUGCUGUCAUUAUCCUGCAGAAAGUAAAGAUGUCGGCUUGUUUGGUUUUACCUUCAUUCUUGGAGAAUCCUUUUAUGCUGACAGCUACAGAA